rnacentral:rRNA from 1 species
CCUACGGGUGGCAGCAGUGAGGAAUAUUGGUCAAUGGACGCAAGUCUGAACCAGCCAUGCCGCGUGCAGGAUGACGGCUCUAUGAGUUGUAAACUGCUUUUGUACGAGGGUAAACCCCGAUACGUGUAUCGGGUUGAAAGUAUCGUACGAAUAAGGAUCGGCUAACUCCGUGCCAGCAGCCGCGGUAAUACGGAGGAUCCGAGCGUUAUCCGGAUUUAUUGGGUUUAAAGGGUGCGUAGGCGGUUUGAUAAGUUAGAGGUGAAAUGUCGGGGCUCAACCCCGAAACUGCCUCUAAUACUGUUGGACUAGAGAAUAGUUGCGGUAGGCGGAAUGUAUGGUGUAGCGGUGAAAUGCUUAGAGAUCAUACAGAACACCGAUUGCGAAGGCGGCAAUCUGGCUGGAAACUGACGCUGAGGUGCGAAAGCGUGGGUAGCAAACAGGAUUAGAUACCCCAGUAGUC